GUUAGGACAGAAGAACAUCCCGCUUCAUUAGUUUGCUAGAUCCCUCUUCAAAGAGCUAUUUUUCCCUGUGGCUCAGUCUGUUACAGCCCCAAAGAAGGCACCGAAGGGAUCUGCGCCAUUCCAGAAGAAGAAUGACGUCACAGACUAGCCAAUCCCCAGCAGACUGUUGAACGUAGUUUUCACCAAGAAGAGCAUAGGCUCAAAACUGGCUCCCGGCAGGGUUUUACAACACAACUUAUACCAGAAGACCUCUUCUUCAAAGGCCCACCCUCACCACGCCUCUCCCCUCCCACCUCUCCCUCUCCCCUCAAGCCAAACAAGCAAGUCAGGUAUUCACAGGACAAAGCAAAGAAAAUCCAAUCAAGCCCUGAGAAACCGAUCAAACCCAGACUGUGGUUCACAGCCCAUCAUGGACUUGAAAGCAACAAAACUCCACUGAAGUGAACCUCAAAGGCCGGAUGUGCUCUGCCCGUGAAAUGUACUUCCCAGUUUCUGCCUGCUCGCCAUGGGAGCAGGGUCUCCAGGAACCCAGGCACUGCCCCGCCCAGAGUGCAAAGGCAGAAAACGGGCUGAGUAGGUUACUCUCUGCUACGUUUUCUGUUUGCACAUAGCCUAUGAAUUUGAGAAGCUAUAAAAAUGAAAGAAGAAAGGGCAUUUUAUUACCCUCUCUUCUUUCUUCCAGGAAAGUCUAAAGUACAUAGCUUAAUAUUUCUUUCACUCCGAAACACAGCUGUGUACUGCUUUUAAGUAAAGUUAUACUUUCUUUUAUUAACGUG